rnacentral:rRNA from 1 species
CAGCCGCCGCGGGAAUACAGAGGAUUUAAGCGUUAUCCGGAAUGAUUGGGCGUAAAGCGUCUGUAGGUGGCUUUUCAAGUCCGUCGUCAAAUCCCAGGGCUCAACCCUGGACAGGCGGUGGAAACUACCAAGUUGGAGUACGGUAGGGGCAGAGGGAAUUUCCGGUGGAGCGGUGAAAUGCGUUGAGAUCGGAAAGAACACCGACGGCGAAAGCACUCUGCUGGGCCGACGUUGACACUGAGAGACGAAUGCUAGGGGAGAAAAUGGGAUUAGAUACCCCAGUAGUCCCUGUCUCUUAUAA